GCCCUGGUGGCACAUUGGUCUAAGUGCGUGGACCAUAAAGGCGGUGUCCUUCCUGCGGCGUCCCAGGUUCGAUUCCAGCUCGGGUCA